CAGCCGCCGCGGUAAUACGAAGGGGGCUAGCGUUGUUCGGAAUUACUGGGCGUAAAGGGCGCGUAGGCGGCCAUUCAAGUUAGAUGUGAAAGCCCUGGGCUCAACCUAGGAAUUGCAUUUGAUACUGUUUGGCUCGAGUGCAAGAGGGGAGAGUGGAAUUCCAUGUGUAGCGGUGAAAUGCGUAGAUAUAUGGAGGAACACCGGUGGCGAAGGCGGCGACCUGGUCCUUGACUGACGCUGAGGCGCGAAAGCGUGGGGAGCAAACAGGAUUAGAUACCCCCGUAGUCCCUGUCUCUUAUAC
rnacentral:rRNA from 1 species